rnacentral:rRNA from 1 species
AUUGAACGCUGGCGGCAGGCCUAACACAUGCAAGUCGAGCGAGCGGCGGACGGGUGAGUAAUGUAUGAGGACCUGCCUGAUCGAGGGGGAUAACUACUGGAAACGGUCGCUAAUACCGCAUACUAUCGGAUGGACCCAGAUGGGAUUAGCUAGUAGGUGGGGUAACGGCUCACCAAGGCGACGAUCUCUAGCUGGUCUGAGAGGAUGAGCAGCCACACUGGGACUGCGGUCCGUCCCAGACCCCUCUGGGAUGCAGCAGUGGGGAACAUUGCACACUGUGCGCAAGCCUGAUGCAGCCAUGCCGUGUGUAUGCAGAAGUCCUUAGGGUUGUAACGUACUUUCAGCGGGGAGGCGUUACCCGCAGAAGACGCACCGGCUAACUCCGUGACAGCCGCCGCGGUAAUUC